GGGAGCUUAGAUGUGGAAGCUCUUUGGAAACCAAGAAACACUCUGAAAAUGAAAAGGGUGGAAGAGUAAACUGUUCCUGUUUCUCCAUCUUGACAGGAAGCAGAAGUUCUCCUUAGCUGAUUUUUCUUCUUGCCUUAUACUGGGUUCUUUAACACCAGAACAAAAAUAAAUAAAUAAAAGAAUCUUCCAGAAAUUCAUGAAGAGACUUCAGGUCAGGAAAGCCUGAACUUUCUCAUCCAACACCCGUUCAAGUCGGAGGAUGCUGAUUAAUUCAUGAUGGAAAGGUAUCAAUUUCACAGCCCAGACCUCUACAUUCUUGAAAUGCUCUUCUCAUGGGAGACAUUAAAUAAGCUUUGAAUUAACUGGACUUAUCUUCCUCAGUUCUCUGUGAUGAACUUUUGUAGAGCCAUACGAAAGGAGGUUUUUAGCUCUCACCUGUGGUCUUUCUUCAUCAUGCACCUCCUAGAUUCAAAAGUUCAGCAGGGACAUGUCAAGCUAUAUAAAUAAAAACAAACUAAGAAAAAAUGUAACAUUCCAUACCUUAAAACGCAACCUUAAUAACGUGAAAGACCCUGAAGGACUUGAGACGUGAAGAUUUUCUACCACGGUCUUUGCCUGUAUUAUUUCUGACAGCUGUUCCUUUCUACUCCCUCUUGCACACAUCUUUAGUUACUCCCUGUUCUCCAUCCCUCUGAUAAAAUCUAGAGUUCCCCC
rnacentral:lncRNA from 1 species